rnacentral:rRNA from 1 species
AGCGAACGUUUGCGGCGGGCCUAACACAUGCAAGUCGAACGAUAACCCGGGCUUCGGUCUGGGGGAAAGUGGCGCACGGGUGCGUAACACGUGGGUAAUCAACCCUUUGGAUCGGGACAACCCGGGGAAACUCGGGCUAAUACCGGAUAAGUCGUGGGAGUCUUCGGGCACCCACGGGAAAGGCCCGCAAGGGCUACCAUUGGACGAGCUCGCGGCCUAUCAGCUUGUUGGUGAGGUAAUGGCUCACCAAGGCUAAGACGGGUAGCUGGUCUGAGAGGAUGAUCAGCCACACUGGAACUGAGACACGGUCCAGACUCCUACGGGAGGCAGCAGUGGGGAAUAUUGCGCAAUGGGCGAAAGCCUGACGCAGCCACGCCGCGUGUGCGAUGAAGGUCUUCGGAUCGUAAAGCACUGUGGGGGAGAAGAACAAAGCCGGUGAAGAGCCGGCCCUGACGGUAUCCCCUUAGCAAGCACCGGCUAACUCCGUGCCAGCAGCCGCGGU